rnacentral:rRNA from 1 species
ACGAACGCUGGCGGCGUGCCUAAAACAUGCAAGUCGAACGAGGGAGCAAUCCCUAGUGGCGAACGGCGGAGUAAUACAUGAACAACGUGCCCUGAAGACCGGGAUAGUCAGUGGAAACGCUGGGUAAUACCGGAUGUGGCCGACACGAGGCAUCUCGAGUCGAUUAAAUGGUUUUUCGCUUCAGGAGCGGUUCAUGGCCUAUCAGGUAGUUGGUGGGGUAACAGCCUACCAAGCCGACGACGGGUAGCGGGUCCGAGAGGACGAUCCGCUCGAGUGGGACUGAGACACGGCCCACACACCUACGGGUGGCAGCAGUUGGGAAUCUUGCACAAUGGGGGAAACCCUGAUGCAGCGACGCCGCGUGGAGGACGAAGGAUCUAGGUCUGUAAACUCCUUUUUCACGGAAAGACUUAGGACGGUACCGUGAGAAUAAGCCCCGGCUAACUACGUGCCAGCAGCCGCGGUAAGACGUAGGGGGCGAGCGUUGUCCGGAUUUACUGGGCGUAAAGCGCGUGUAGGCGGCUUGUUAAGUGUGAAGUGAAAUCUCUAUCGCUCAACGAAGAAACUGCUUUACAUACUGGCAAGCUUGAGGAAUGCAGAGGUUAGUGGAAUUCCUGGUGUAGCGGUGAAAUGCGUAGAUAUCAGGAGGAACACCAAUGGCGAAGGCAGCUAACUGGGCAUUAUCUGACGCUGAGAUGCGAAAGCGUGGGUAGCAAACAGGAUUAGAUACCCUGGUAGUCCACGCCCUAAACGAUGGAUACUAGGCGUAAGAGGUAUCGACCCCUCUUGUGCCGCAGCUAACGCAUUAAGUAUCCCGCCUGGGGAGUACGGCCGCAAGGUUGAAACUCAAAUGAAUUGACGGGGACCCGCACAAGCGGUGGAGCAUGUGGAU